rnacentral:rRNA from 1 species
GUGAAUCAUCGAGUCUUUGAAUCGCACCUUGCGCCCUUUGGUAUUCCGAAGGGCAUGCCUGUUUGAGUGUCAUUAAAUUAUCAACCUUGCUCGCUUUUACUAGCUUGAGUUUGGCUUGGAUGUGAGGGCUUUGCUGGCUUCCUUCAGUGGAUGGUCUGCUCCCUUUAAAUGCAUUAGUGGGAUCUCUUGUGGACCGUCACUUGGUGUGAUAAUUAUCUAUGCCUUGAGACUUUGAAGCAAACUAAUGGGAACCUGCUUAUAACCGUCUUCGGACAAUCUCUGACAUUUGACCUCAAAUCAGGUAGGACUACCCGCUGAACUUAA